rnacentral:rRNA from 1 species
UACCAGCUCUCCGAGUGGUAGGGAUGUUUAUUGGGCUUAAAGCGUCCGUAGCCGGCUUAGCAAGUCUCCUGUUAAAUUCAGCGACCUAAUCGUUGAGCCGCGGGAGAUACUACUAGGCUAGGAGGCGGGAGAGGUCAACGGUACUUCCGGGGUAGGGGUGAAAUCCUAUAAUCCCGGGAGGACCACCAGUGGCGAAGGCUGUUGACUAGAACGCGCUCGACGGUGAGGGACGAAAGCUGGGGGAGCGAACCGGAUUAGAUACCCGGGUAGUCCCAGCUGUAAACGAUGCGAGCUAGGUGCUGGGGUGGCUACGUGCCACUUCAGUGCCGCAGGGAAGCCAUUAAGCUCGCCGCCUGGGGAGUACGGCCGCAAGGCUGAAACUUAAGGAAUUGGCGGGGAGCACCACAAGGCGUGAAGCUUGCGGUUC